UCCCUGUUAGCUCAGAUGGUAAAGAAUCUGCCUACAAUGCAGAAUACCUGGGUUCAAUCCCUAGGUUGGGAA
rfam:Ovis aries breed Texel chromosome 2, whole genome shotgun sequence.